CUGAGAAACGGAGGUUGGCCGUGCCCGGGGCCUUCUGGGAAUCGUAGUUCUGGGCUGGAUGAGGCUCGCCAGCCUCGCCCCAUCCCCUUCUUACGCAUGCGCGGCUCCGAGCUGGCCCCAGAGGUUCGGAGCCUUUGUCAAGCCCGGAUGGGAGGUACAGUGCCGAGCGGCCGGAACAGGCAUCCGAGGAUCGGUCUGGGGGACCUGGCCCCCCGCGGGAUCCAGGUGCCGAUGGCCCGGGCCCGAGGAAGAAGCGGGGCCUGACCUGACCCGGCCUUUCCGCAGCGCCCCGAGGGCCGGCCGGCGGGAGGACGGGGCUUCUCGCUGUGACGUGCCGAGAGGUCCAGAUGGAGGAGCGCGGAGACGGGAGCUCCGAAUCUUCGGAACCGGGAGGAUUGGGGAUCAUGGAGGCAGAUUGGGCCGAGGUGCCCGAGAAGAGAGCUACGUCUUUCCAGGAUUCUUUCUAUUCCCAAGAGAAGAGCACAGAAAAGGGAGAAGUGGCAGCUCUCCACCUCACAGCCAGAUCCCAGAGCCCAUCUGGAGAGCUGAGUUCUAAUCUAAGACUACUCGGGUGGCUAAUGGACUCAGUAGAAAAUGUUUUCUGCUAACCCAUGGCAUCUUCUCCAUCUAGUUAUACUUAUUGUCAGUCAACAGGCAGGCGUCCGUGACAUUCAAGGAUGUGGCCAUGGACCUUACCCCCGAGGAGUGGGGGAAGCUGGAUCCUGCACAGAGGGACGUGAUGCUGGAGAACUAUAGGAACCUGGUCUCGCUCUGGCUUCCAGUUUCCAAGCCUGAGAACUACAAUUUGGAGAAUGGAAAGGAAACAUUGAUGCUUGAGAGAAAAGUCCCCAGAAGCAGCUAUUCAGGUCCAUGAAUUUUCACAAGUUGAACACAGCUCCCGAAUCAAGAAACAACCUUUCCAGCACCCCUAGAAAUACCCUGUGCCCUCUUUAAGUCACUGCCCUCCUUCCUAGAGUAACCUUAUCCUAACUUCUAAUACCCAGAUUAGUUUUGAUUUAGUUUUAUAUAAACAGAAUCAUAUUGUAUAUACUCUUGUGCCUGACUUCCUUCACUAAAGAUUACUGUGAGAUACAUUCAUUUUGUAACAUUUAAUUAUAGUUCAUUCUCAUUGUUAUAUAGUCUUUCAUUAUGUCAGUAUACUAGAUUUUUGAGUAGUUCCAGUUUUUAGCUAUAUGAGUAAUGCUGCUUAUGUAUAUUCUCUCUUUUGAUGAGCACAUGUAUGCAUUUCUGUCGGAUAUAUACAUUAAGUAGAAUUGUUGGGUUGGAGGGUAGAUCAUGUUCACUUUUGGUAGAUAUUGUCAAAAGAUCCCCAAAGUACACUGCCAGUGUGGCUCGGUCAGUUAGAGCGUUGUCCCGAGCACCAACUGGUCGCAGGUUCAAUUCCAGUCAGGGCACAUACCCAGGUUGUGGGUUCAAUCAAUGCUUCUCUCUCACAUCAA